rnacentral:rRNA from 1 species
GACGUAGGGCGCGAGCGUUGUCCGGAUUUAUUGGGCGUAAAGAGCUCGUAGGCGGCUUGUCGCGUCGACUGUGAAAUCCCGCGGCUCAACUGCGGGUCUGCAGUCGAUACGGGCAGGCUAGAGUUCGGUAGGGGAGACUGGAAUUCCUGGUGUAGCGGUGAAAUGCGCAGAUAUCAGGAGGAACACCGGUGGCGAAAGCGGCUUCCUGGUCCAGCACCGACGUUCAGGCACGAAAGCGUGGGGAGCAAACAGG